CUUUAUUGGAGAGUUUGAUCCUGGCUCAGGACGAACGCUGGCGGCAUGCCUAAUACAUGCAAGUCGAGCGGAGUUGAUGGGAAGCUUGCUUCCUUGAUACUUAGCGGCGGACGGGUGAGUAACACGUAGGCAACCUGCCCUCAAGUUUGGGACAACUACCGGAAACGGUAGCUAAUACCGAAUAAUUGUUUUCUUCGCCUGAAGGAAACUGGAAAGACGGAGCAAUCUGUCACUUGGGGAUGGGCCUGCGGCGCAUUAGCUAGUUGGUGAGGUAACGGCUCACCAAGGCGAC
rnacentral:rRNA from 1 species